rnacentral:lncRNA from 1 species
AAGCGUCUGCAUCUCCUUUGCUUUCUCCUCCUUCCUCCUCCCACCCCUCAAAAAGGGAGGAUACCCCUGUGUUGAGUACACAGCCUGUAAUUUUGCUGUCAAACCUCAGCUAGGAGGUCAGUGUUGUGACUGGCUGUGUAAGGAUCUUUCCCUUAAGGGUAAUUACACUAAAUUCCCCUCUGAAGGACAGCUCUCUCUGGAUAGAAUACAAGAAAAGCCCCACAUCGUAGAAACACUUGGGUCUCUGUGGCUGUCACAGGCACUCCGGCAGAGAGAUACUCUGAGGCACUCUGAUUCCUCUGAGCUGAGGCUGCAGGGUGACAAGACUAAAGGCCACAGGGAAGUAUGGCCAAACGGCAAAAGGGAGGGUUCCAGAGAGCUCUGUCUGGGGACCUGGGGCUCUAGGUGGCCCAGAAUAUGCUUGGCUCAAUUUGGAGUGUCUCCACUUUAGCUGACAAUAUCCUGAACCAUGAAAUCAAGAAGAUCCCGUCUCUUGGCAUCUCCAUCUCCAGACAGGGAGAGGAGACUCAUCUGUGCUGACCCAUCUCUCUAACAGGUUGGCCUCGAUCUUUCUGCACACCAAGGAUCAGAUCCCCUCCCCCACCAUGGACCAGCGGGACUGGAGAUGGACUUAAGAUGAACCUGGCUGGGUAAGUGAGAAACAGCUGAAGAACUCUUAAGCAUACCGACGCCCUCACAGGUGAGAUAAAAGUGCAGCACACCUGCCCAUCACCCACAGUCCACAAGAGAUACCACCUUCCCUCCAGUUCCCUCCACCCAAGGACCCAAGGAUGGCAGAAGAAAAAAAAAAUGAUCGCAACCUCCCAGGUCUAGCACUGGAGUUUCCCUUCUAUCCCAGGGAGACCCCGGCGAGAACUGGGGAGUCACUUCACCCACAACAAACAGUUAAAAGGAAGAAAGCGGGUCUGGCGAUAUCAAUGCACUUUGAUAACAAUAAACCCUGCUUUUAAUUUAUGCUAAUGUGUAGGGCUGUGGUGACAGUAAGAACUAAAUUACAGAGUGGCUUUCGAGCCGGUAAUUAUCCCUCCAUUUUUCACCGCUCUGGAAGAUGGACACACAAUUAUGCUCUCUUGCUGUAUAUUAAUACAGAUUCUUGACAUCUUCAGCAGACCCGGAG